UACGUAGGGUGCAAGCGUUAAUCGGAAUUACUGGGCGUAAAGCGGGCGCAGGCGGUUCUAUAAGACAGAUGUGAAAUCCCCGGGCUCAACCUGGGAACUGCAUUUGUGACUGUAGAGCUGGAGUACGGCAGAGGGGGAUGGAAUUCCGCGUGUAGCAGUGAAAUGCGUAGAUAUGCGGAGGAACACCGAUGGCGAAGGCAGUCCCCUGGGCCUGUACUGACGCUCAUGCACGAAAGCGUGGGGAGCAAACAGG
rnacentral:rRNA from 1 species